rnacentral:rRNA from 1 species
AUUGAACGCUGGCGGCAUGCCUUACACAUGCAAGUCGAACGGCAGCAUGAUCUAGCUUGCUAGAUUGAUGGCGAGUGGCGAACGGGUGAGUAAUACAUCGGAACGUGCCCUGUAGUGGGGGAUAACUAGUCGAAAGAUUAGCUAAUACCGCAUACGACCUGAGGGUGAAAGUGGGGGACCGCAAGGCCUCAUGCUAUAGGGGCGGCCGAUGUCUGAUUAGCUAGUUGGUGAGGUAAAGGCUCACCAAGGCGACGAUCAGUAGCUGGUCUGAGAGGACGAUCAGCCACACUGGGACUGAGACACGGCCCAGACUCCUACGGGAGGCAGCAGUGGGGAAUUUUGGACAAUGGGCGAAAGCCUGAUCCAGCAAUGCCGCGUGUGUGAAGAAGGCCUUCGGGUUGUAAGGCACUUUUGUCCGGAAAGAAAUGGCUCUGGUUAAUACCUGGGGUCGAUGACGGUACCGGAAGAAUAAGGACCGGCUAACUACGUG